rnacentral:rRNA from 1 species
AUUGAACGCUGGCGGCAUGCUUUACACAUGCAAGUCGAACGGUAACAGGCCUUCGGGUGCUGACGAGUGGCGAACGGGUGAGUAAUGCAUCGGAACGUACCCAGAGGUGGGGGAUAACGCAGCGAAAGCUGUGCUAAUACCGCAUGUGAUCUGAGGAUGAAAGCGGGGGACCGAGCAGCAAUGUUUGGCCUCGCGCCUUUGGAGCGGCCGAUGUCGGAUUAGCUAGUUGGUGGGGUAAAGGCCUACCAAGGCGACGAUCCGUAGCUGGUCUGAGAGGACGACCAGCCACACUGGGACUGAGACACGGCCCAGACUCCUACGGGAGGCAGCAGUGGGGAAUUUUGGACAAAGGGCGCAAGCCUGUUCCAGCAAUGCCGCGUGCGGGAAGAAGGCCUUCGGGUUGUAAACCGCUUUUGGCAGGAACGAAACGGUGUCCGCUAAUACCGGGCGCUAAUGACGGUACCUGCAGAAUAAGCACCGGCUAACUACGUG